UUGAACGCUGGCGGCAUGCCUUACACAUGCAAGUCGAACGGUAACAGGUCUUUCGGGAUGCUGACGAGUGGCGAACGGGUGAGUAAUACAUCGGAACGUGCCUAGUAGUGGGGGAUAACUACUCGAAAGAGUGGCUAAUACCGCAUGAGAUCUAUGGAUGAAAGCAGGGGACCUUUGGGCCUUGUGCUACUAGAGCGGCCGAUGGCAGAUUAGGUAGUUGGUGGGAUAAAAGCUUACCAAGCCUACGAUCUGUAGCUGGUCUGAGAGGACGAUCAGCCACACUGGGACUGAGACACGGCCCAGACUCCUACGGGAGGCAGCAGUGGGGAAUUUUGGACAAUGGGCGCAAGCCUGAUCCAGCAAUGCCGCGUGCAGGAUGAAGGCCUUCGGGUUGUAAACUGCUUUUGUACGGAACGAAAAGUCUUGGGUUAAUACCCUGGGAUCAUGACGGUACCGUAAGAAUAAGCACCGGCUAACUACGUG
rnacentral:rRNA from 1 species